rnacentral:rRNA from 1 species
AUGCACGCUGGCGGCGUGCCUAAUACAUGCCAGUCGAGCGAACAGACGAGGAGCUUGCUCCUCUGACGUUAGCGGCGGACGGGUGAGUAACACGUGGAUAACCUACCUAUAAGACUGGGAUAACUUCGGGAAACCGGAGCUAAUACCGGAUAAUAUAUUGAACCGCAUGGUUCAAUAGUGAAAGACGGUUUUGCUGUCACUUAUAGAUGGAUCCGCGCCGCAUUAGCUAGUUGGUAAGGUAACGGCUUACCAAGGCAACGAUGCGUAGCCGACCUGAGAGGGUGAUCGGCCACACUGGAACUGAGACACGGUCCAGACUCCUACGGGAGGCAGCAGUAGGGAAUCUUCCGCAAUGGGCGAAAGCCUGACGGAGCAACGCCGCGUGAGUGAUGAAGGUCUUCGGAUCGUAAAACUCUGUUAUUAGGGAAGAACAAAUGUGUAAGUAACUAUGCACGUCUUGACGGUACCUAAUCAGAAAGCCACGGCUAACUACGU